rnacentral:rRNA from 1 species
GACGAACCGAGCGAACGUUGUUCGGAAUCACUGGGCUUAAAGGGCGCGUAGGCGGAUUGUCAAGUCCGGGGUGAAAUCCCACAGCUCAACUGUGGAACUGCCUCGGAUACUGGGAGUCUCGAGGGUGGCAGGGGUAUGCGGAACUAUCGGUGGAGCGGUGAAAUGCGUUGAUAUCGAUAGGAACUCCGGUGGCGAAGGCGGCAUACUGGUCCACUUCUGACGCUGAGGCGCGAAAGCCAGGGGAGCAAACGGG